rnacentral:rRNA from 1 species
GAAAAGAAACUAACAAGGAUUCCCCUAGUAACGGCGAGUGAAGCGGGAAGAGCUCAAAUUUGAAAUCUUAAAGGGUUUCCCUUUACGAAUUGUAGUUUAAAGAAGUGUUUUCUGUUGAGGUUUUGGUAAAAGUUCUUUGGAAUAGGACAUCAUAGAGGGUGAGAAUCCCGUAUUUGACCUUUACUUUCAACUUUGUGAUACACUUUCAAAGAGUCGGAUUGUUUGGGAAUGCAGUCCAAAAUGGGUGGUAAAUUUCAUCUAAAGCUAAAUAUUGGCGAGAGACCGAUAGCGAACAAGUACCGUGAGGGAAAGAUGAAAAGAACUUUGAAAAGAGAGUUAAACAGUACGUGAAAUUGUCAAAAGGGAAGCGUUUGACACCAGUGUUGUUUUUCUGAAAAUCAAUUAAAGAACUGUUUAUGCUAAGYUGUUUAGACUUUAUCAGCUAUCUGUUUAGUUUUGAGCUUUUCUUUAAUGCACUUUUCAGUUAACAAGUCAACAUCAAUUUCUUUUGCUGUAAAAAAGCUUGAGGAAGGUGGCUUGAGAUUCGUCUUAAGUGUUUAUAGCCUCUUGCCUAUGCAGUCGGAGAGAUUGAGGUCUGCAGCGUAGAUCCUUCGGGGCUAAAUGCAUUUGUGCUAAGUUAUAGCAUUUUAUAGACAACUUGUUGACUAUGAUUU